rnacentral:rRNA from 1 species
UACGUAGGCAGCAAGCGUUGUUCGGAAUUACUGGGCGUAAAGAGUGUGUAGGCGGUGUUCUAAGUUUGUCGUGAAAUCUCCCGGCUUAACUGGGAGGGUGCGGCGAAAACUCGAAUGCUAGAGGAUGGGAGAGGUAAGCGGAAUUCCUGGUGUAGCGGUGAAAUGCGUAGAUAUCAGGAGGAACACCUGUGGUGUAGACAGCUUACUGGACCAUUUCUGACGCUGAGACACGAAAGCGUGGGUAGCAAACAGG